GGUCAAGUGAAGAAGCGCAUACGGUGGAUGCCUUGGCAGUCAGAGGCGAUGAAAGACGUGGUAGCCUGCGAAAAGCUUCGGGGAGUCGGCAAACAGACUUUGAUCCGGAGAUGUCUGAAUGGGGGAACCCAGCCAUCAUAAGAUGGUUAUCUUGUACUGAAUACAUAGGUGCAAGA
rnacentral:rRNA from 1 species